rnacentral:lncRNA from 1 species
CUGCCAUUUAGAAAUCCUGGGUUUGGUUUUCCUACACCCCGAACACAAAACCACAAAAUACCAAAGUUGGAGGCAACCUUAGUGAUUAAUAUCCCUCCUCUUACAGAUGAAAAAAAAAAAAGGAACAUGACCUGACCAAGGUUAAUAAUAAUACUGCAAAGGAAGGCUCUUUGGGAUUCACAUGGCCCUGUCAUAGGUGUUUAUAGAAUUUGGUUGUAAUGUGCCCUCUGACUUAUAGGACGAAGAAAAAAAAUCCUUGCAUGUCAACAAUAUGUGCCAUCAAAGUUCUCCAUGCCUCUGUCUGGUUUGAUUCUCACCAUCCUAUGUAGUGGGCAUUAUUUUUUCUCAUUUUACACACAAGGAAAACAAGGCCCGGAAAGGUUAAGUCCAUUCAGUUAGUAAGUGGCAAUCCUGAGCUCAGGCUUCAAUCUUCUGCCUUUUAUUCAAUAUCAUUUCCAAGUCCAUCUCCACUUUGAUUCUCUGGGGAUUGAGGGUAUAGUGGAAAUUAGCCAUAACUUGGGUAGGGCAAGAUAUAUAGGAGCUCUAAAAGUCUCUACCCUAUUCUGGAUGCAGAUACUGUGGGUUGCUAGAAAUUCUAAAGAAAGGAUUCUGAGUUUUAGUGACUCACCUUCAUUGGCAUGUAAAUACUUCCCUCUUAGAACCACUGUAGCUGGAGCAAGGGCCUCAUGGCUGCUAACAUAAUUUGGUGCUGUCAUCUCAGCAGCUGCCUUUCCUUAUCUUAAAUACCACCUCCCAGGAUAGUGUGGCACUGAAAAGCUCAAGCUGUUAGAAUCUGCUGGCUACUCCAAUUCCUGGUUCUGUCGCUUUAGAUGACCUGAGCGAUAUUAUUUAAAUUUCCUGCAUCUCAGUGUUUCCAUCUAUAAAAGGGAGCUAGUUAUAGUACCUUCCUGAGAAGGUAAAGACUAAACGAGGUAAAAAACUUAGGAGAGUAAAGUGCUCAAUAAAUACUAGCUGCUGCUGCAUUUGCUCUUGAGACAACCGAAGGAAUUCUGUCACAGAGCUGAGUUUUCACCAGGAGUACAAAAGGAAUAUGUUCAUAGUUCAUGGACUCGGUGGGCAUGCCAGGGUGACAGGUAUCCAAAAGACAGAAUCACAUACAGUUUACUUCUUUUUUUUUUUUCAGACGGAGUUUCACUGUUGUUGCCCAGGCUGGAGUGCAGUGGCGUGAUUUCAGCUCACGGCUACCUCUGCCUCCCGGGUUCAAGCAAUUCUCCUGCCUCAGCCUCCCAAGUAGCUGGGAUUACAGGUAUGCACCACCAUGCCCGGCUAAUUUUGUAUUUUUUAGUAGAGAUGGGGUUUCUCCAUGCUGGUCAGGCUGGUCUCAAAUUCCCGACUUCAGGUGAUCCGCCCGACUUGACCUCCCAAAGUGCUGGGAUUACAGGUGUGAGCCACCGCACCUGGCCCAGUUUACUUAACUCCGGGGAAUGAUUGCUCGGACCUUAUACAACAAGGGUUAUCUUCAUUUUCUGCCAGUAUCACCCCUCUGCCCCCACCCCCCUCAACAAAGCAGAAGGCUUUAACUCACCCACCUGAAAAGCUAAAGCUGAGCUGGAAGUUAUGAUUAUGUAUUUAUUUAGUCUGAAAGAAGGAACAGAAGAGCCUUUUAUAUAACUUGAAGAGUGUAAAGGAGCCAAUGAUAAAAAACAUUGCCCUGAACUUUUCCAAAGCACCAUAAAUCUCUCUGUUAUGAUUCUCCAGUUGUUGCCAAGGUAUCAUUUGUCUUUUUGUUUUUGUCUUCAGAUAGACGAAAACAAACGUUAACGAACUUCCUUCUGUUAGUUUGUGUAUCUGUGAUCCAAGGCUAUAAAAAUGCUACUCUUUCAAGUUACUCCCAUCAUUUAAAAUACACCUGAUGCUUAUUUUGUGGUUUCUCAGUAAUAUUCUGAUUUUAAUUUGAUUGCUUUUUAUGUUUGUGUAUUUUCCCAUUCAAAGCUGUUUUUUCUCCCUUCCCUCCCUUUUGUGUUUCUCUCUGUCUCUGCUGAUAUUUUUUGCAUGUUUAGAUCAUCUCUCUACUGACCUUUUAGUGGCUUAGCAUUUUGUUGCAAUGCACAAGUGAAGUUGGGAAACAGAGCCAAGUGACAAGCUGUGAAGUAACAGCUCAGCCUUCACAAAGCAAAUGUGCUUUGUGCACUUCCUUGCCAGAGCAGAUGUGGCCUUGGUGGACUGUGGGGAGCAUCAUCUCUCAGGUAAAAAUAAAUUACUAAGAUUAGGACCAAAUGAUGCAAAUCCUUUCAUUUGCAAACAGAUCAUGAACUGGCAGCCAUGUGGAAAGAAGACUAGACUGCGAAUCACUUAGGAUCCCACCCUCGGUUUAGUCUAGAAUACUCUGCGAAUCAGCUUUUUGGCCCUAGGUAGGAAAGAGACAAAUGGAAGCAAAAUAGCAAAAUGGUGAAGAGGAGGGUUCUAGAGGCAGAGAGCCCUGCAGUCCUGAGUCCUGAGUCCACCGUUUAACAGAGUGACUUUGCUCAGCCUGUGGAUUAUAAUGAAACUUGCCUGUAAGUUAUAGGAUCCAGUUUUUUAGGUGGUAGCAACAUGCUCAAGGAAGAUGCAGCCCCUUCCUCCAGCCUGAGAGAAUAAAGCAUCAUUGGCUUAUGCCAACCAUGGCAAUCCCAUUCCCCUUUUCUCAUGAUUGAUUUGGGAAUGGGCAAGUGACCCAGUUCUAACCAAUGAGACGAAAGAAAAAGUCUAUUGGUCAGCUUAUCUCAGAAGAUUUUUGUUUCCUGCUAUAAAGAGAAACAGUAAGUUCCUUCCUGCCUGACUUAAAUGCAAUUGUGUGCAAACAUGUUACUUGGAGCUACAGCAACGAUUCUGUGACCAUGAGGCAAUAAGCCAAGGACAAAGGAUAGAAUAGUGAAAAGACAGAGUAUUGGAUUUUUUUUAUGAUAUCAUUGAACUGCUGGACCAAUGUGGAACCAUCUACUUUUAGUCUUUCAUGAUUUGUGAGAUGAUUAAACAUUUCUUUUUUUUAGCCAUUAUUUCUUUUCUGUUACUUGCAACUGAAGACAUCCUACAUAAUACAAACACUAUCCAACUUGGAUUGUAAUUUAUCUAUUUUCAGAUCUGUGUGUUCUGUCUUACUGAUUUUUGUAUUCUUAGCACUGAGUAUAAGGCUGCUACUUAGUAAGACUUCAAUAAAUGACUGUUUAAAAAGGUCUUAGAGGAUUUAAAAAAAAUUCUGAAGUUGCUGAAAUAUGAAGACCAGGAACCAAUUUCAGGUUCUAUAAAUUUCUCGCUUCCUUCACUUCUGGAGUAGUCUUCAUUUCUGUCUGAUUCUACCUUUACUAAAAUGAAUGAAUGAUUGAGAAAUACGAAAAAUGGCUGGUAUAGUGGCUACUGCUGAGAAGUAUCUCUUGGAAAUUCCCGGAAAUUCCAUCAGUCACAUUCAGACCUAACUCUCUGAUGAUCAAUGUUUCUGAACUCAAACCAGUGUACAUAAGCAGUGGACUAUUUAAAGUGGUAUUAGCCUAGAAUAUCUAGGACCCAUGUUUUAUGCAUUCAGUAAGCGUUUGUUUAAUGUCUGUUAUCUACCAGGCACAUUAUUAUGCAUUGGGCAUAUAGAGAUGACCAACCACACGGCCUCAAUCCUUGAAAAGCUUACAGUAACCAAAUAGGGUUAACGGCCUAAAGAGAGGUAAUUACAAGUCUUACACUCAGUCUUCUUAGCAUAGUAUGGUGCUACCUCUGAGUUAAUUAAGAUAACAAAAUUCCUAGAUAUAUAUCUUUGAUGAAACGGUUUCCAUGAAAACUUUCCAAGUUUGGUCCCUCCCCGGCUGAGUUCAUUUUGGAAGGUGACUUUCUGCUCUCAUCACCUAAGGUCCUUAACACGUAUCCUGUGUUCUCCGGAGGCACCCCUUGCCCAGAGUGUGCCCUCUGCAUGGUUCCCCCAGAACACCUAUUUCAAAGGAAAAGAAGUUGGAUCAUUCAGUGAAGAUUUGGGGGGCCACUUUUCUACGUGGGAGGAUUAUGAGUAUUACCUUCCUCCCCUAUGUAUUAGUAAAUAUAAAGAAAACAUAAAUUAACCCCCUUUCUGGCUGGGCACGGUGGCUCACGCCUGUCAUCCCGCACUAUGGGAAUCCGAAGUGGGCGGAUCACUUGAGGUCAGCAGUUUGAGACCAGCCUGGCCAACAUGGCAAAACCCCGUCUCUACUAAAAUAUAAAAAUUAGCCAGAUGUGGUUGCACACAUCUCUAGUCCCAGCUACUCGGGAGGCUGAGGCACAAGAACUGCUUGAGCCUGGGAGCAAGGGUUGCAGUGAGCUGAGAUUGUGCCAUUGCACUCCAGCCUGGGUGACAGAGCAAGACUCUGUCUCAAAAAAAUAAAAUAAAAUAAAAAUAAUUUAGACCCCAUUCUUCUUAGAUAACCAUGACUUCUGAAGGAGGUCAGAGCUCUUGUGCUCUGCAUCUCUGCUCCAUCAGCCUCAAGGCCACCUUUCAGGUCCACAUGAAAUAUAAGUGCACAAAGGCACCAGACUUAGCAUUAUUAGUUUCCCCCACUGGUCUGAUUUUUGUAGAAAUUGCCAGGAACUGAUUUUCUGCCCUUCCUUCCUAACAGACAAGCCUUCCAGCCCUCCCUGACACAGCUCUUCCCUAUCUCCUACUCUCUGGUCAUCAAGCUUUUAGAGAUGCCCUGGCCUUCUCUAGUUGCCCCAGCUGUAUUUUUUCUUCUUGGGAAUGCGUUGAUUCCAGAGCCUGACUGGGAAUAAAUCUCAGCUCCUCCAUUUAGCAGUUAUGGGAUUCAAGUUACUCUUACUCCCAGGGACUCAGUUUCUGCACCUGUAAAAUGGAGAUUUACCACCUUUCGUUCCAGCAUUACUGAUAUUGUUUGGCUCUGUGUCCCUACCCAAAUCCCAUCUCGAAAAUUAAUCCCUAUAGUCCCCACCUGUUGAGGGUCCUGGUGGGAGGUAAUUGGAUCCUGGGGGCGGCUUUUCCCAUGCUGUUCUCGUGAUAGUGAGUAAGUUCUCACGAGAGCUGACGGUUUUAUAAGUGUUUGACAGUUUCUCCUUCACACGCUCUCUCUUCUGUCUCCUGCCAUCAUGUAAGAUGUGCCUGCUUCUCCUCCUCUCAUGAUUGCAAGUCUCCUGAGGCCUCCUCAGCCAUGAAGAACUGUGAGUCAAUUAAACCUCUUUCUUUUAUAAAUUACCCAGUCUUGGGUAUUUCUUUGUAGCAGUGUGAAAACAGACUAAUGCAAUUACCAUAAUGGGCUUUCAAUUGAUGAACUUGCAUCACUGACUCCUCAACACGCAGCUGACUUCCUACUGUAAUUGUUCACCAUGCAGACAUUUGUGGAGCCACAAGCAUAACCAUCAUGGUAUUUAAGAUUCGUUCUGUAUCUGGAUUUAUGCAGUUUAUGAAAAAUCAUCAAACUGUCCUUAUUAUUGGUGUCUUUUUUCUGUAUAUAUGUUAUGCUUCAAUAAAAUAUUUACUUAAAAUUAUUUUAGGUAUGUUAAACUCACUACACCAGACAGGGCUUACCUUCUCACUCUGCUGUCUUUAUCCCUCUCUCUAAUUAAAAGGAUUACAC